AAAUACUAAAAGAAGUGAGGGUGCACCGCAGUUAGAACAGCCUUUCUGGGGGGGUCUCACACAGGGGAUGCCACCAGAGGGGACGGUGCCAGGCCCAAGAUUCGCCUCCCAGGAGGGAGCAGGUUGUCAAGGAUACAAGAGGCUUGCUCCUGCCAGCUAGGCCUACCGUUCAUGCAGGGGUGAGUGUCUGGGAUCCUAGGCGGAGCACCCCUGUGAUUCCUGCCACCUAGCUGGCCUCGACGUGCACAAAGCACUUCCAGGGGGCUACAGACCUCACUUUGCAACUUACUAACUUGUGGUUGUAAGACAACCUCUCCAAGCUUCAGUUUUCAUGUCUGUAAAAGGGGGAUAGUGCUACCUGUCUCGUCAUAGGGCCAUUGCGAAGAGAUGAGAUCCGUAAGGAGGUUUGGCAAAGUGCCGUGCAUGAGUGAGACGUGUGCAGUGAGGUUCAUGGAUGACUCGUGUCCUUUGUCUCCUCCUCCCCAGCCUUCCCUGCCUCAGCCAGGAAAGCCCCACAUCCCAGAAUUUGCUCUUCCAGGAAGCUCCCAGAUUCCUUGUCUGUUUCCCCUGCGAGAGGUGAGCUUGCUUCUGAGCACAGGGCCAGUAUGUCUACCCUGCGAGGCCAUCCAAAACACAGGACCAGCUGAGAAAACUGAGACUGGAAGAAGAGAAGUAACUUGGAGCAGCAGAGGUGAGCCUCAAGCCCCUCUGAUUUCCAAGCUCAUGCUCUCACUAGGCUACUCGUUGAUCUCUGCAGCUGUCUGUCUCCAUGUAAGUGAAUUCAUUCUAAGGACCUGAACCCUAGGCUUCCCCUUUCUGAUUGUGACAUCCUUAUUGUUGCCUCCCCUUCGUAGAGGAAUUUUUCAUUGCCUACAGGCACAGGGUUUAUCUUCUACACCCCCCAUUUCUUUGACCCAUUGCAGACAGGACUCCUACACUGAGAUUUUGCUUGUUUACCAGCUAUUACUGAGGAAGGCAUCUGUAAUGUCUUUUCCUCCUCUGACUAAUGCACUUACAUCCCAAAAGGUCCUUCUUCUGCUCUAAGCUUCCACCUGGAAGGAGGCAGUGAGCAUAGAGGAGGUAGAGAGCAAAGCAAGUCUCCCGUCCUACAGAGACCAAGUGUGCCUGGUGCUGGUGAACAAUGAAUGAGAGCCCUGUGCCUUGAAGCAAGAGGCCUGGGCUCCAACUUCUACUUUGUAGAAGGGAUCUUGUUGUAGUGGGAUCUUGAGCAAGACCUUUUCUUUCUGUGGGCCUCAGUUUCCCCUUCUCUAGAAAGAGGCAAUUGGGUUAGAAGGUUAAUGUUUUUUAUUUUAUAAAUACCCAGAUAUUUGUGCUCUCCUGGUAAGAGGAAGCAAGAAGGAAGGAAGGAACAGGGAGGAAAGAUGAGGGUUUCACGAGGCAGUGGCUUCGGGGCAGCGCGGGACAGAGGUGGACACAGCUGGGGCUCAGGAGAGGACCUGGGGCAGGGCAACAGACACAUUUCCUGUCAAAGCUGCCACAAAGUUAGAAAGGUAACGCUUUUUUUUUUUUUUUUUUUUUUUAAGCAGUCUCCACAUCCUGCUUGAAGCCCAAUGCAGGGCUCGAACUCACAAUCCCGAGAUCAAGAUCUGAGCAGACAUCAAGAGUUGUCCAGCUCAAUCGACUGAGCUACCCAGAUGCCCUUGGAAAGGAUAAAAACCUCAGCCCUCCCCUCCUACCCCCCAUCUGAGCACUGAAACUAAGACGAACGAAGAAAUAAUUCCCCAGGAGGCCAGCGGCAUCCACCCUGGACAAAGAGAGGGUGAGGAGAGAGCCCCGGGCUCCCAGCUGUUUGUCUUGGGGCUGGGGUUCGCAUGCAGUUGCCUACCUGAGAGCUGUCAGUAGCCUGGCUCCUUCGGAUGUGAGGCUCGGUUCCGCCGUAUCAGCCACACCAGCGUAUAUAUAUCCUCCCCCCACCCGCUCAGCCCUCCCCUUCCCUGCCCACCUCGAUGACACAUACACACGCUGACCCCCUUAAUCAAGCGAAUAGCAGAACCUACAAUCCUCCCUGGCUGCUCCCCGCCCCCUUGGCUCUGUGCUCAGACCUGUGACACCCCAGCCUCCCCCCACCAUCCAUCCAUUCUCAAGCCUGCUUUACCUGGACUCUGUUCAGCCAGGAUCCCACAGCUGCCUUCCCUUUGCUUCCAGAGGCACGGCGAGGGCUGAUGGGGAGCUCUGGCAAGUCAGUCAGAAAAAAAGACUCCUGGUGACAGUGACGAGGCAGACCCCAAUCCUGGAGUCUCCUUGAACAACCCUUUUGCACAAGGAGUAAAGAGUAGGAAGCGGGCAGAAGGAGGGGGAAUCUCACACGAAGCUCCCACUGGCACAGGGAAGCCCAGAGCUGGGCUAAGCCAAGCCCCCUUUACUGCAAAUGCCCCACGGGCGGCAACUAUGAGGCCACUCCAGGGAGUGGUUCCACCUGCGAUGGGUCAAGUCAGGAGGCAUUUUGCAGGUGCCCGCAGCCUGGCACAAUGUAAAAUGCCGAGCCUUUCAACUCAGAGUGAAGUGUCUGAGAUUCUGGCUUCUGUCAGAGCAAGUUACUUCUCUUUGAGAACCUCAGGUCCUUCUUCUGUAAAAUGGGUAUGCUACUGCCCAGGGUGAUUGUGAGUAGAAAAACGAGAUUCUAUUUGGAACAUAGGAGACCUUUAAUAAAUGAGUGCUGCACCCCCUUCGUCCUCUUCACGUUAAAUAAGACCAACUGAAUCUGACAAUUCCCUGUCAACAGCUAGUGUCACAACAGAGUACUUUCAGAGCUGCUGCUGUACCUUUGGGCGUUGCGCCCGAGUGCCUUGGAGUCUCAGAAGCUGUUGGAGAUGCCCCCGCCUCUCAGUGUGGAGCCUCCUUCCCUUCCCACGGGGAAGGCAGAUCAUGGUCAGCCCAGGCAGGCCGUGUUUAAAUCUGCAGCAUUCUUGGGGAUCCCUCCUUUCUUUGGCCCUAGGCGAAUUGCACCAUGACUUCCUCCUUGGCUCUCCUGAGAAGAUGCAAAAAUAUUCCAGAAUCCCAAGACAUGAGGCUAUGUCAUUCAAGAAGUUCAAGCACCCUCUCAUGUGGCAAAUCUGGCUCUCUCAUGGACCUAAGAACGGUGGGGAAGGAUGAAAGAAAGCAUCUGCUUUGACUGCUAAUGGCAUGUUUUUUUUUUUUUUAGGGGGUGGGUGAUUGAAACGUUCUGGAAUUAGAUAGUGCUGAUGGUUGCACAACAUUGUGGAUAUACUGAAAACCACGGAAUUAUGUCCUUUAAAACAGUGAAUUUCAUGUUAUGUAAAUUACAUCUCAAUAAAAAAAAAAUAGAAAGCAAGCAAGGAAGCACCUGCGCCAAGUUAAGAUCAACAAGUUCUAAGAAGACAACUUCCCUUCCAUCUGUAUUCAUAGCAAAAGGGUCCAGGAGACCAACAUACCCUGAUUUUAGAUCUCUAGUGCCUGAAACUUACACUUUGUUGUUAUUACAGGUCAAAGCCACCACUCUGAA